GCUAGACUUGAAGCCAUACGCAUACUGCUGGCCUAUGCAAAUCAUCACAACAUACUUCUUUAUCAAAUGGAUGUGAACAACGCCUUCCUCAAUGGCAAGAUUGAAGAAGAAGUGUAUGUUGCACAACCUCCUGGCUUUGAAGAUCCAAAACAUCCUGACAUGGUAUACAAGCUCAACAAGGCACUAUAUGGCCUCAAACAAGCCCCUCGGGCCUGGUAUGACACACUCAAAUACUUCUUGAAGAGCAAAGGCUUCAUACCUGGUUCUCUCGACCCCACUCUCUUCAUGAAGACAUAUGAUGGUGAACUAUUUGUGUGCCAAAUAUAUGUGGAUGACAUUAUCUUCGGCUGCACCAAUCAGAAGUACAGUGAAGAGUUUGGAUAUAUGAUGCAAGAGCAAUAUCAAAUGUCUAUGAUGGGAGAGCUGAAGUUCUUUCUCGGUCUUCAAAUACGACAGCAACGCAACGGCAUCUUCAUAUCUCAAGAGAAGUAUCUCAAAGAUUGUCUGAACAAGUUCGGUAUGCAAGACUGCAAAGGCUUCACGACGCCAAUGCCAGCCAAGCAUCAUCUGGGUCCUGACGACAAUGGUAAAGAGUUCGAUCAAAAGGUAUACCACUCCAUGAUUGGUUCUUUACUUUAUCUAUGUGCAUCUAGGCCAGAUAUUAUGCUUAGUGUUUGCAUGUGUGCUCGAUUUCAAGCGGCACCAAAGGAGUCGCAUCACUUAGCUGUGAAGCAAAUUCUUCGAUAUUUGGCUCACACCCCAACUCUAGGAUUAUGGUAUCCAAAGGGCUCAGAGUUUGAUCUGCUUGGAUUCUUGGAUGCUGAUUAUGCUGGUGACAAAGUUGAUCGCAAGUCUACAUCAGGCACAAGUCUUCAAAGAAGCAGAACUGUGUAUCUCUCUCCACUGCUGAAUCUGAAUACAUUGCUGAUGGAUCUUGCUGCGUUC
rnacentral:rRNA from 1 species